rnacentral:rRNA from 1 species
GAUGAACGCUAGCUACAGGCUUAACACAUGCAAGUCGAGGGGUAACAAGAGAAAAGCUUGCUUUUCUUGUUGACGACUGGCGCACGGGUGAGUAACGCGUAUCCAACCUGCCUAUAACUAGGGAAUAACCUUGCGAAAGUAAGACUAAUACCCUAUGAUUUCCUUUGAUGACAUCAGAUUAGGAAUAAAGAUUUAUAGGUUAUAGAUGGGGAUGCGUCUGAUUAGCUUGUUGGCGGGGUAACGGCCCACCAAGGCAACAAUCAGUAGGGGUUCUGAGAGGAAGGUCCCCCACAUUGGAACUGAGACACGGUCCAAACUCCUACGGGAGGCAGCAGUGAGGAAUAUUGAUCAAUGGGCGGAAGCCUGAACCAGCCAAGUAGCGUGCAGGAUGACGGCCCUAUGGGUUGUAAACUGCUUUUAUACAGGAAUAAAGUUAGCCACGUGUGGUUAUUUGUAGGUACUGUAUGAAUAAGGACCGGCUAAUUCCGUGCCAGCCGCCGCAGUAA